rnacentral:rRNA from 1 species
AGAGUUUGAUCCUGGCUCAGAACGAACGCUGGCGGCGUGCUUAACACAUGCAAGUCGAGUGCGCGCCUGUAGCAAUACAGGUGGCGCACGGCGCACGGGUGCGUAACACGUGGGUAACCUGCCCUUUGGUGGGGAAUAACUCCGCGAAAGCGAAGCUAAUUCCGCAUAAGAUCCGCAAGGAUGAAAGCCGAAAGGCGCCGAUGGAGGGGCCCGCGCACGAUUAGCUGGUUGGUAGGGUAAUGGCCUACCAAGGCUUUGAUCGUUAGCUGGUCUGAGAGGAUGGCCAGCCACACUGGAACUGAGACACGGUCCAGACUCCUACGGGAGGCAGCAGUGGGGAAUCUUGCACAAUGGGCGAAAGCCUGAUGCAGCGACGCCGCGUGGGGGAUGAAGCUUCUCGGAGUGUAAACCCCUUUCGAUCCGGACGAAUGCCCGCAAGGGAUUGACGGUACGGAUAUAAGAAGCCCCGGCUAACUACGUGCCAGCAGCCGCGGUAAUACGUAGGGGGCCAGCGUUGUUCGGAAUUACUGGGUGUAAAGGGUUCGUAGGCGGUGCGGCAAGUUGGGAGUGAAAUCUCUGGGCUCAACCCAGAGGCUGCUUCCAAAACUGCCGUGCUUGAGUGUGGGAGAGGCUCGUGGAAUUGCAGGUGUAGCGGUGAAAUGCGUAGAUAUCUGCAGGAACACCCGUGGCGAAAGCGGCGAGCUGGACCACUACUGACGCUGAAGAACGAAAGCUAGGGGAGCAAACAGGAUUAGAUACCCUAGUAGUCC